UACGGAGGGUGCAAGCGUUGUUCGGAAUUAUUGGGCGUAAAGCGCGUGUAGGCGGCCCAUUAAGUCAGGUGUGAAAGACCUUAGCUCAACUAAGGAAUGUCAUCUGAAACUGGUGGGCUUGAGUACGGGAGAGGAGAGUGGAAUUCCCGGUGUAGAGGUGAAAUUCGUAGAUAUCGGGAGGAACACCCGUGGCGAAGGCGACUCUCUGGACCGAUACUGACGCUGAGACGCGAAAGCGUGGGGAGCAAACAGG
rnacentral:rRNA from 1 species